GGUGAAGUGUUAGAGUGGCCGAAUAUGCUCCCCUGCUAAGGGAGUGUCCAAGUAAUAUUGGAUCGAGGGUUCAAAUCCCUCCUUCACCG
rnacentral:tRNA from 1 species